AUGUACAGGAGCAAGCAGAGGGGCUUCCUGGAGCUGGACCUGGUGCUCGGGACCUGGGCGGAGCAGCACGUCCGCUCCAUGGACGAGGCCAACGUCCGCUCCCUGCUCCAGAUCCUCGACCUCAAGAGGCUGCUGAAGGGCACACUCAAGAACAGGGGACUGCUCCAGAACAAGAAGCAUGUGCAAGUCUGGUGUAGACAAACAAGACAUCUGGACGAGAAGAAAAAGAAGUGCAAGGCUGGUAAGGUCGAGACUCAUCUUGAAUUCCCUGGACGUGAAAAGGUUAAAUUUGGUGAAGUUGUCGAAACUCCACCAAAGUUAUCAUUCCCAAAGAGGUGA
rnacentral:rRNA from 1 species